GGGAAAAUCCAGCUAUCCAAGUUGCAAUUGCUAUCAGCAUCUUCUACAGCAUUGACAGUCUUGUCAUGGUUAGGCAGAGGAGCAGUGAUGACAUUAGGAGUCUCAGGCGGAUCCAAUUCAAAUUCUCCGGCGUCGAUCAUAUCCUGAAUUUUAUUCUUCAACGACCAACAAUCGUUUGUAUUAUGCCCGGGGCUAUCGGAGUGAUACGCACACCUGGCGUUGGGAUUAUAACUAGGAGAAGUAGUGUUGGGUUUUGCAGGAGGAUCUCUGAGGGUAAUUAAAUUUGCUUUUAGCAUACCCUGCAGUGCUUGUGC
rnacentral:lncRNA from 1 species